GAUUGAAGGCUGAAAUUCGCCUUCAUGAAGCCGGAAUUGCUAGUAAUGGCAGGUCAGCAUACUGCCGUGAAUACGUUCCCGGGCCCUUGUACACACCGCCCGUCACACCAUGAGAGUUGGGAAUACCCGAAGCCUGUGAGCUAACGUUAAGAGGCAGCAGUCGAAGGUAGAAUCAAUGAUUGGGGUGAAGUCGUAACAAGGUAUC
rnacentral:rRNA from 1 species